rnacentral:rRNA from 1 species
UGGGGAAUCUUGCGCAAUGGGCGAAAGCCUGAUGCAGCGACGCCGCGUGAGGGAUGAAGGCUCUAGGGUUGUAAACCUCUUUUCUCAGGGAAGAGUAAGGACGGUACCUGAGGAAUAAGCCACGGCUAACUACGUGCCAGCAGCCGCGGUAAUACGUAGGUGGCGAGCGUUGUCCGGAAUUACUGGGCGUAAAGGGUCCGUAGGCGGCCUGGAAAGUCUCUUGUGAAAUCUCCCGGCUUAACUGGGAGAGGUCGAGGGAUACUUUCAGGCUUGAGGACGUCAGAGGGAGACGGAAUUCCCGGUGUAGUGGUGGUAUGCGUAGAUAUCGGGAGGAACACCAGUGGCGAAGGCGGUCUCCUGGGGCGCUCCUGACGCUGAGGGACGAAAGCGUGGGUAGCAAACCGG